CCGUCCCCUCGCCCCCAGCCUAGCAGGUUCGGUGGGUCGCCCAGGUCGUUAACUCCCAGACCCGUUAGAACCGGUCAGGAGAGGAAUGCACUGCUCGAUCCUGAUUGGCGGCGGGAAGCGGGUUUGAAAAAUGGCGGGCCUGACGCUGACUGGCUGGGGCAGUAAACUGGGGGGAGCGGUUGGCCCGAAAGGGAAAGCCCCGCCAGAUUUAAAAAUACCGAGUCGCGAGCUUGGGGGUUGUUGCCGAGGGCUGGCGGCGGCGACUCGCUUUGCGGCCGCUGAGGGAACUAGCAGCCUGCCCUGCCCCGGCUCCGACCGCUUUCCCGGGCCAGAGCGCCUCUGCCCCGGCCGAAGGGUAACUGGGGACAGACGGGGGCGCUCGCCCUGCGGACUAGUGGCCCAGCGCCGCCCGUGGUGGCUGAGGUCGGAGUGCAACUCCGGGAAGACGAGCGCUGGCGGGGCACCUGGGCCAGGGCGCGGGAGGACAGCUGCGCCCGCCUCCCGAGGGGUGUUGCAAACCCACCUACAAACUUGCUGGCUGGUGUUUGUUGGGCCUGCGUUGCUCCAGCUUCGUGUGUGAUCAGUAACCCUACUCAAUAGAACCUCGGAACCAGCAACGGUUAGCCCAGGUUUCCUAAAGAAAAAGCAUGUUCUUUAACAUGUGUUUUCCCGGGAAACACCUAUUAGUGGCACAGGAUGCAUGCAUUUACUGUUUCUGAAUUAAAAAAUAAAUUUGAAAAAUGUAAUGCACUAGUGAUCUGUUUAUUGCUACUUAAUGUAGUAUGAUUUAGUGACUACAUUUUAGUCCGUUUGAAUUGGUGCGUGCUUUUAUAGCACAUUUGGAACUGGCCCUCUUGGAGAAUAAGUUCAUGGCAGAUGUAAUGAAUUAAGAUGAGGUCAUACUGAAGCUGGGUGGGUCCCUCAUCUAAUAUCACUGGUGUCCUUAUAAAUAGGGAAGAAUUGAGCACAGAUACAGCCAUAGAGGUAAGGUUAUGUGAAAAGACACAGCGAGAAGGUGGCCAUCGACAAGCUAAAGAGAAAGGCCUGGGUUAGAUCCUUCCCGUACAGCCUGCAGGGGAAAAGCUCUCAAGAAUUAAGGCAAAUUACAGAUGUUUUCAGAAAAACAAAAGCUGAGAGAAGUUAUUGCUUAAUGAAAAUGGUCCUAAAUCCUAAGAAAGAGGAAAAGAACACAGGAAAUGUCGAAUAGAAGUGAGUUAUUGGAAAAGCUAAGGAACAUAAGUGAAGAGUGCUCCGAUAUUAUUCUUUCACAAUGCAGUCCUUUUGACUGCUUUUGGGCAAUAUAGGUAUGUACUAAAUUUCAGUAUUUCUAGUGUUAACAAUGAAAGCCAAAAAAUACAGUAUGACUCCGAAAAUAAAGGAAUCAUUUGAGCGGAAGUGAGUACAACUUACCUAUUUU